CAUUACACAUUUAAAAAUAGGGUUGGUUGGGCGCCCGGAUAGCUUAGUUGUUAGAGCAGGGGCCCACAUAUAGAGGUCAAUCCUCGACGCAGCGGCCCCGGGUUUGACUCCGACCUGCGGCCCUUUGCUGCAUGUCACCCCCCCCCCUCUCUUUCUCCCAUUUCUUGUCUUCAGCUGUCCUGUCAAAUGAAGGCCUAAAAAUGCCCAAAAAAUAAUCUUAAAAAAAAAGAUGGCCUAAUGGAAGCGACUAAAACCAGAAAACGUGUUCAUUUUG